GUGAAUCAUCGAAUCUUUGAACGCAAAUUGCGCCUGCUUUCGGGAGGCAUGGCUGUUUGAGUGCACCGUUUAACAAAUAAUGUGCGGGUCGCUAUGCGGCGUGCACACGUGGAUGAGCUUUUCCGAUAAACCAGGUUUUUUUGGUGGCGCAUAAUGAACAACGUGGUCUUUUUCUUUCGAUUCUCGUGUAGGAAGGAAAGUCUCGACG
rnacentral:misc_RNA from 1 species